rnacentral:tRNA from 1 species
GCCGAAGUGGUGGAAUUGGUAGACACGCCAUCUUGAGGGGGUGGUGGGCGUAUGCUCGUGCGGGUUCAAGUCCCGCCUUCGGCACCA